CACCGGCGCCACGAGUGGGAAUCACAUUUAUUUGGCCUAAAGCGUUCGUAGCCGGCCUGGUAAAUCUCUUGUGAAAUCGCUUUGUUCAAGCAAGCGACGUGCAGGAGACACUGCCAAGCUAGGGACUGGGAAGAGUCAGGGGUAUGGAUAGGGGAGCAGUAAAAUGCUAUAAUCCUUUUUAGACCACCGGUGGCGAAGGCGCCUGACUAGAACAGAUCCGACGGUGAGGGACGAAAGCUAGGGGAGCAAUCCG
rnacentral:rRNA from 1 species